rnacentral:misc_RNA from 1 species
AUAAAAGGAUACCUUCGGGUAUACCCCAUCCGUGUCUACUAUACUCUUGUUGCUUUGGCAAGCCGUGGUCUUCCACUGUGGGCUCUGCCUGCAUGUGCCUGCCAGAGGACCAAACUCUGAAUUUUAGUGAUGUCUGAGUACUAUAUAAUAGUUA